rnacentral:lncRNA from 1 species
UUCUAAGAUGAUGAUGGAGCUCAACAUUUCUUGGGAACCUGAACUGGUAAAGUCUCCUCCUAAUUUCUACCACCUCGUUUGUUUUGGUUAAUUAAACUGUCAGAAAGGGGAAGAUAUUUACCUGUCGCUCACUUCAGGUACAGAUGAAACAUCAGCCUGCAGAUAGGUAGCUGCUCAAUUACUAUAAUUGCUUUUAUUUAUUCCCUCUUUUUUCCCUGUGUUACCCAUUGCUUUCUUCUCUCCCAGGACUGUGACUCUCCUUCCAACAUGUGCUUGGUAGGGUCAAGGAUGGGAGCCUGGACAGCUACUUUUUGAAAAUAAUUGCAGUUACACUUUUGAGACCAGCGUUUCAUCACUGGGACCACUGCAUUUAAAGGAAUUCUUCUUUGAAAAUGACUAAAAUCUUGAUAGCAAACAAAGGAGGAGGAGAAAGGACGUCAGCGCCUGGUUGCCGCAUCACUGAAGACCAAGAGAAUCUGGUUGAACAUAAAGGAAGUGAAGCCCAGACUUUGUAAAAUAAAGGAUUCAGGCGCAUGGAUCUGGACCACUGAAUCUGUGAUGACCUAUUAAAUGCUAUACCCAAAUUAGCCCGUGGGAUUUCCUUGGCGAGUGAACAGCUCCCGUCGAAUGCAGACCAAAGUAAAUAAAAUAAUUAACAACUGGAAUAGGAGAGGAAGC